CGCCGCCAGGGGGCGAUAGCUCCCCAGCGCAGCUGACUGAGGGGCGGCGGCGUCCCGUGCGCCGUCCCGGCACCUGCGUAGCGCUUCCAACGUGGAGUUUCGAGCUUGCCGUCCCGCAGUGUCACACAGUCACCCACGUGGGGCUCGUCCCGAGAAGGAACGUCUCCUGAGGUUGCACGCAGCACCCCGCACAGCCUUCCGCUGGCUGCCUAGGCGGGAGGUGGCACGUCCUCACAGGCACUGCCUUCCCUGCCCCUCACAGAACAUCACCGUAGCAGAGGGCACACAGAGGAUAUGAGCCCAGCCUGGUGCUGACUGCACCGUGCCCCGCUCCUCAGCCAUCAUCGCCAUCUUGGCCACCUCAGCACGUCACAGGGAUCAAAGCAAACCUCUCUGAACGGUUCUGCUCUCACCACUAGUUACACAGUUUCCAUUCAGGAGGAAGCUACAAGGCACAGGCUAGUUCUUGCUGGCAGCACAGCCAGCACCGUUCUGAGCCGGGAUCUCUCUUUGGAGGCCACUGCAGCAGGAGCCGGGGCAGGCUGGGGAUGUGUGGUAGCAGCCGUUGGCACAGGGUUACCUCAGCGUCCUGUCAGGGCACUGAGCGCCACAGAGCAGAUGGGAUCCCAGUCUUCCCGCCAUUUCUAUGACUGUAAAACUUUCCCAAAGUGCAAAAUUUCAUGCUUUUUGGAGAAGAAUCAAAGCUACCAGGCUUUCUUGAUGAAAAUAUUAAUUGCUAGUGCCAGGCAAGGACCUGGGCUCCAGAAGCUCCCCCAGCCGUGGCCUCAGCACCUGGUGAAAUGGCGAUGCUCAUCCUCUUUGCUCUCCUCCGCCUCCAGACGUCCCAGCCAGAUGGUAUUGCUUCAUGACCAAAAGUACUACUGAUUUGAAGGAGGAUUUUUGGAUAUGGCCUGUUGUCUCCUGGAGAUUGGGGUGAAACUCCAUAUCCUUUCUCUGCGUGAUCUCAUUACAGUCAUCUCUCUAGGGGUGAAAAAGAUUUUCAACAGUACAUCUAAAAGAACAUUUUGCAGAUGAGAGGAAAAUGAGGGCACAGAAAUAAAGUGAAUUGUCUGAGGUCACACACCAAACAAAUGUCAGAGCUGGACUCAGGAUUUUUGACUCUUGGGAAGUGUUUUAUCCACCACACAAAGCUUUCUGUUACUGCUGCUGAAGAUGAUGAUAGCGUUUGUGUUAGACAAGUCAAAAAGAACAAUUGUUCUAUUCAACUUUAUACUACAAGCAAAUGUAUAUUCAAAACAGAGCCAAAGUCUGGCUGUUAAUUCCUUGUUCUCAGCCCAUCGGAUGUUGCUGUGUUAUGAAGAUGCCUGUAUUAAUUUCUCCAUCAGGAAAAGCAAUAAAAC
ensembl:lncRNA